UACGUAGGGUGCGCGCGUUAAUCGGAAUUACUGGGCGUAAAGCGUGCGCAGGCGGUUCGUUAAGUUCGAUGUGAAAGCCCCGGGCUCAACCUGGGAACUGCAUUGGAAACUGGCGAGCUUGAAUGCGGCAGAGGGGGGUGGAAUUCCGCGUGUAGCAGUGAAAUGCGUAGAGAUGCGGAGGAACACCGAUGGCGAAGGCAGCCCCCUGGGCCGACAUUGACGCUCAGGCACGAAAGCGUGGGGAGCAAACAGG
rnacentral:rRNA from 1 species